rnacentral:rRNA from 1 species
GACGAACGCUGGCGGCGUGCUUAACACAUGCAAGUCGAGCGGUAAGGCCCUUUCGGGGGUACACGAGCGGCGAACGGGUGAGUAACACGUGGGUGACCUGCCCUUAGCUCUGGGAUAAGCCUGGGAAACUGGGUCUAAUACCGGAUAUGACUCCAUGACGCAUGUUGUGGGGUGGAAAGCCUUGUGCGGCUAGGGAUGGGCCCGCGGCCUAUCAGCUUGUUGGUGGGGUGAUGGCCUACCAAGGCGACGACGGGUAGCCGGCCUGAGAGGGCGACCGGCCACACUGGGACUGAGACACGGCCCAGACUCCUACGGGAGGGCAGCAGUGGGGAAUCUUGCGCAAUGGGCGAAAGCCUGACGCAGCGACGCCGCGUGGGGAGUGACGGCC